rnacentral:rRNA from 1 species
CCUACGGGAGGCAGCAGUAGGGAAUCUUCCACAAUGGGCGAAAGCCUGACGGAGCAACGCCGCGUGGGUGAAGAAGGUCUUCGGAUCGUAAAACCCUGUUGUUAGAGAAGAAAGUGCGUGAGAGUAACUGUUCACGUCUCGACGGUAUCUAACCAGAAAGCCACGGCUAACUACGUGCCAGCAGCCGCGGUAAUACGUAGGUGACAAGCGUUAUCCGGAUUUAUUGGGCGUAAAGGGAACGCAGGCGGUCUUUUAAGUCUGAUGUGAAAGCCUUCGGCUUAACCGGAGUAGUGCAUUGGAAACUGGGGGACUUGAGUGCAGAAGAGGAGAGUGGAACUCCAGGUGUAGCGGUGAAAUGCGUAGAUAUAUGGAAGAACACCAGUGGCGAAGGCGGCUCUCUGGUCUGUAACUGACGCUGAGGUUCGAAAGCGUGGGUAGCAAACAGGAUUAGAUACCCUUGUAGUC